AGUGAACGCUGGCGGUAGGCCUAACACAUGCAAGUCUAACGGCAGCACAGGAGAGCUUGCUCUCUGGGUGGCGAGUGGCGGACGGGUGAGGAAUACAUCGGAAUCUACUCUGUCGUGGGGGAUAACGUAGGGAAACUUACGCUAAUACCGCAUACGACCUACGGGUGAAAGCAGGGGACCUUCGGGCCUUGCGCGAUUGAAUGAGCCGAUGUCGGAUUAGCUAGUUGGCGGGGUAAAGGCCCACCAAGGCGACGAUCCGUAGCUGGUCUGAGCGGAUGACCAGCCACACUGGAACUGAGACGCGGUCAAGACUCCUACGGGAGGCAGCAGUGGGGAAUAUUGGACAAUGGGCGCAAGCCUGAUCCAGCCAUACCGCGUGGGUGAAGAAGGCCUUCGGGUUGUAAAGCCCUUUUGUUGGGAAAGAAAUCCAGCUGGCUAAUACCCGGUUGGGAUGACGGUACCCAAAGAAUAAGCACCGGCUAACUUCGUGCCAGCCGCCGCGGUAA
rnacentral:rRNA from 1 species